rnacentral:rRNA from 1 species
AAUGAACGCUGGCGGCGCGCCUAAUACAUGCAAGUCGAGCGAGAAGACGUAGCAAUACGUUUGUAAAGCGGCGAACGGGUGAGGAAUACAUGGGUAACCUACCCUCGAGUGGGAAUAACUAGCCGAAAGGUUAGCUAAUACCGCGUACGCUCCUUGGACUUCGGUUCAGGGAGGAAAGCGAUACCGUGGGUAUCGCGCUCUUGGAUGGGCUCAUGUCCUAUCAGCUUGUUGGNGAGGUAACGGCUCACCAAGGCUUCGACGGGUAGCUGGUCUGAGAGGACGAUCAGCCACACUGGCACUGCGACACGGGCCAGACUCCUACGGGAGGCAGCAGUAAGGAAUAUUGCGCAAUGGGCGAAAAGCCUGACGCAGCGACGCCGCGUGGGGGA